AUGGAACGUUUUGCGCUCAAAGAGCAUGACAUAAACAGUAUGAUUGCAAGUUUGUUGUGUUCAGGACACAUAACGAAAGCGUAUUUCAGAAAUACCAUCAAAGAGAGAAUGCAAUUUUAGUGGAAUCUAAAAUGCAUAUACAUACCGUUCUGCUAAUCACAAUUGUGUUGCAAAUCCUCACGCUCGCUGGACCAUUGGGAAUCUUCAUUUUGCUUGGAGUUUUGCAUACACCUUUUCCAAUAGCGGCCCAAAAAACUACUAGUACUGAAGCAUACAGGAAGCUUUCACCAGAUGUUUUUCCCCAAUCAGAAGAACAAACUUUUCCUCCUACAGAGCAAGUCUCAAAUGCUACAAUCCCCUCUGAAGUUACAAAUGUAACAGUAACAAAUGUUACAGUAACAAACGUUACAAAAAACUGUUCACAUGUAGCUAGGUGUGUAGCUCGAGUGUUUAAAUGAUAAAUAAUUAUUUAUUACAGGAUUAUUCAAAUAAUUACUUAAUAUCAACAUUUUAAAAAAUAAACUAAAAUUAUAUACCAAAAUUUGUCUGUAUUAUAAAACCAAAAAAUUAAAAUUGUAAUUCAAUGAAAAAUAUAUACCAAUUGCCACGUAUUCUCACUUGAUACUUUAGGAUGCACCGCCUUGUAAUCGAGUUUCUUUUUUACCUAUUUCUAUUAAAAUUCUAGCCAUCAAUCCUCCUUAUUAUUCUGUAUUCUCAUUUUGUUUGUAAGUAUUUAUGAAAUUGUAAAACAAUAAUUCAUGUUAAGUCGAGGUUAAAAUUUUAAUAAACAUUUGAAAUUAAUAACA